rnacentral:rRNA from 3 species
ACGGGAGGCAGCAGUGGGGAAUAUUGCACAAUGGGCGAAAGCCUGAUGCAGCAACGCCGCGUGAGCGAUGAAGGCCUUCGGGUCGUAAAGCUCUGUCCUCAAGGAAGAUAAUGACGGUACUUGAGGAGGAAGCCCCGGCUAACUACGUGCCAGCAGCCGCGGUAAUACGUAGGGGGCUAGCGUUAUCCGGAUUUACUGGGCGUAAAGGGUGCGUAGGUGGUUUCUUAAGUCAGGAGUGAAAGGCUACGGCUUAACCGUAGUAAGCUCUUGAAACUGGGAAACUUGAGUGCAGGAGAGGAAAGUGGAAUUCCUAGUGUAGCGGUGAAAUGCGUAGAUAUUAGGAGGAACACCAGUAGCGAAGGCGGCUUUCUGGACUGUAACUGACACUGAGGCACGAAAGCGUGGGGAGCAAACAGGAUUAGAUACCCUGGUA